AGUUGUUGCGGUUAAAAAGCUCGUAGUCGAAUCUGUGUCCCGCGCCGCUGGUUCAUCGUACGCGGUGUCAACUGGCGUGCCGCGGGACGUCCUGCCGGUGGGCUUAGCUCGCAAGGGCGGCCCAACUCAAUCCCGCCGCGGUGCUCUUCAUUGAGUGUCGAGGUGGGCCGGCACGUUUACUUUGAACAAAUUAGAGUGCUUAAAGCAGGCUAAAACUUCGCCUGAAUACUGUGUGCAUGGAAUAAUGGAAUAGGACCUCGGUUCUAUUUUGUUGGUUUUCGGAACCCCGAGGUAAUGAUUAAUAGGAACGGAUGGGGGCAUUCGUAUUGCGACGUUAGAGGUGAAAUUCUUGGAUCGUCGCAAGACGGACAGAANCGAAAGCAUUUGCCAAAGAA
rnacentral:rRNA from 1 species